rnacentral:sRNA from 1 species
GCUGGGCGCAGUGGUAUAUGCCUGUAAUCCCAGCAGCUCUGGAGGCUGAGGCAAGAGGAUCACUAGUUCAAAGCCAGCCUUAGUAAUUUAGUGAGACCCUGUCUCUA